AGUUUUUAGGUAGAAGAAAAUAUGAUAUGUUAUUUACUUUAGUAGCAAUGGCACUUUAUGAUUUUAUUAAGAACGAAAGGGAGGUACAGGUACAAGCUUAUGCAAAAUGAAUUUAGAGGAUACUAAUUCAUCACAGUGAAGUAAACUUGAAGCCUUUUGUACAGUGAAAUAUUGCAUUUCAUGAUCAUGAGAUGACAGAAGAUCUUCA